UACCUUUGCCUCGCUUUUGGUUCCCGGUGGUUUCAUCGGGAUUAAAAGGGAAUACGGUGUGAUUCCGUAACUGUCCCGCAGCUGUAAGCUCCAUAACGGUAUUCAAAUCGAAGCCACUUGUCCGAUCCGGAAAUGUUCCGGUAUAGAUUGGGAAGGCAGGAUAUCCGGGAGUAAGUCAGAAGACCUGCCAGUAGGUGUAAUAUUUC
rnacentral:ncRNA from 1 species